GAUGAAGAACGUAGCGAAAUGCGAUAAGUAAUGUGAAUUGCAGAAUUCAGUGAAUCAUCGAAUCUUUGAACGCACCUUGCGCCCCUUGGUUAUUCCAAAGGGCAUGCCUGUUUGAGUAUCAUGAACACCUCAACUCUUGUGGUUUCCCACAAUGAGCUUGGACUGUGGAGGUUUUGUUGGCCCUGUGGUCAGCUCCUCUCAAAUGGAUCAGCUUACCGGUGUUUGGUGGCAUUACGGGUGUGAUAACUAUCUACGCUUGUGGUUUUCCACCAAGUUUAACCCCCAGCGAUGGAGGUUGGCUGGGGCUCACAAACGACGUCUCUCUUCGGCGGGGACAGCUCUUUGAACGUUUGAUCUCAAAUCAGGUAGGACUACCCGCUGAACUUAAGCAUAUCAAUAAGCGGAGGA
rnacentral:misc_RNA from 1 species